rnacentral:rRNA from 1 species
GACGAACGCUGGCGGUGUGCUUAACACAUGCAAGUCGAACGGAAAGGCCCUGCUUUUGUGGGGUGCUCGAGUGGCGAACGGGUGAGUAACACGUGAGUAACCUGCCCUUGACUUUGGGAUAACUUCAGGAAACUGGGGCUAAUACCGGAUAGGAGCUCCUGCUGCAUGGUGGGGGUUGGAAAGUUUCGGCGGUUGGGGAUGGACUCGCGGCUUAUCAGCUUGUUGGUGGGGUAGUGGCUUACCAAGGCUUUGACGGGUAGCCGGCCUGAGAGGGUGACCGGCCACAUUGGGACUGAGAUACGGCCCAGACUCCUACGGGAGGCAGCAGUGGGGAAUAUUGCACAAUGGGCGGAAGCCUGAUGCAGCAACGCCGCGUGCGGGGUGACGGCCUUCGGGUUGUAAACCGCUUUCGCCUGUGACGAAGCGUGAGUGACGGUAAUGGGUAAAGAAGCACCGGCUAACUACGUG